rnacentral:lncRNA from 1 species
UUUUGGAGUUUAGUAUGAUGUCCAUUUUCACUUAACUAGUACACGUUUUUAUUAAGGGGCCAGUUGAGGAUCACCUCUGGGUGUGGAUUAUUCUUGCUGGGUGGUAGAUUCAUUGGUGGCCUUUAGCUGUUAUCUGCUCUUUGGUCAGGUUGCAGGCUCUUUUAGCAUAUUCCCGAUUUCAAUUCUCAAUUUUAUUCCAAGACUUGCAUCAUUUUUACUAAUUUCAAUGACAUUUCAGGGAUUGGAAUUACUGGAUUUAAUUUAGGCUUUUUUCUUGUUUUCAAGAAGAGUGGGAAUGCUUUAAGAAUUUAUUUACAACUCUUUAGACUAAGGGUAAUUCAAAGCUAUAUAGGAUAUAGAAGCUUGCCAGCUAUUGAAAGACAGUAUAUAGAUGUGUUUUGGUGUUUAAUUGGAUUUUUCUCUCAAUACAUCCAACAUCUCCUUUCAUUAAAUACUA